rnacentral:rRNA from 1 species
UACGUAGGGUGCAAGCGUUAAUCGGAAUUACUGGGCGUAAAGCGUGCGCAGGCGGUGAUGUAAGGCAGAUGUGAAAUCCCCGGGCUCAACCUGGGAACUGCAUUUGGGACUGCAUCGCUGGAGUGCGGCAGAGGGGGAUGGAAUUCCGCGUGUAGCAGUGAAAUGCGUAGAUAUGCGGAGGAACACCGAUGGCGAAGGCAAUCCCCUGGGCCUGCACUGACGCUCAUGCACGAAAGCGUGGGGAGCAAACAGG